rnacentral:rRNA from 1 species
AGGAUGAACGCUGGCGGCGUGCCUAAUACAUGCAAGUCGAGCGAACAGAUGAAGAAGCUUGCUUCCUUUGAUGUUAGCGGCGGACGGGUGAGUAACACGUGGGUAACCUACCUAUAUAGACUGGGAUAACUCCGGGAAACCGGGGCUAAUACCGGAUAAUAUUUUGUCACCUCAUGGUUCCAUAGUGAAAGACGGUUUCGGCUGUCACUUUUAGAUGGACCCGCGCCGCAUUAGCUAGUUGGUAAGGUAAUGGCUCACCAAGGCGACGAUACGUAGCCGACCUGAGAGGGUGAUCGGCCACACUGGAACUGAGACACGGUCCAGACUCCUACGGGAGGCAGCAGUAGGGAAUCUUCCGCAAUGGGCGAAAGCCUGACGGAGCAACGCCGCGUGAGUGAAGAAGGUCUUCGGAUCGUAAAACUCUGUUGUUAGGGAAGAACAAAUUCGUUAGUAACUGAACAAGCCUUGACGGUACCUAACCAGAAAGCCACGGCUAACUACGUGCCAGCAGCCGCGGUAAUACGUAGGUGGCAAGCGUUAUCCGGAAUUAUUGGGCGUAAAGCGCGCGCAGGCGGUCUUUUAAGUCUGAUGUGAAAGCCCACGGCUCAACCGUGGAGGGUCAUUGGAAACUGGGGAACUUGAGUGCAGAAGAGGAGAGUGGAAUUCCAAGUGUAGCGGUGAAAUGCGCAGAGAUAUGGAGGAACACCAGUGGCGAAGGCGGCUUUCUGGUCUGUAACUGACGCUGAGGCGCGAAAGCGUGGGGAUCAAACAGGAUUAGAUACCCUGGUAGUCCACGCCGUAAACGAUGAGUGCUAAGUGUUAGGGGGUUUCCGCCCCUUAGUGCUGCAGCUAACGCAUUAAGCACUCCGCCUGGGGAGUACGACCGCAAGGUUGAAACUCAAAGGAAUUGACGGGGGCCCGCACAAGCGGUGGAGCAUGUGGUUUAAUUCGAAGCAACGCGAAGAACCUUACCAAGUCUUGACAUCCUUUGACCCCUCGAAAAAAUAAGUCUUCCCCUUCGGGGGACAAAGUGACAGGUGGUGCAUGGUUGUCGUCAGCUCGUGUCGUGAGAUGUUGGGUUAAGUCCCGCAACGAGCGCAACCCUUGAUCUUAGUUGCCAUCAUUAAGUUGGGCACUCUAAGUUGACUGCCGGUGACAAACCGGAGGAAGGUGGGGAUGACGUCAAAUCAUCAUGCCCCUUAUGAUUUGGGCUACACACGUGCUACAAUGGAUAAUACAAAGGGUUGCCAAUUCGCGAGGGGGAGCAAAUCCCAUAAAAUUAUUCUCAGUUCGGAUUGUAGUCUGCAACUCGACUACAUGAAGCUGGAAUCGCUAGUAAUCGUAGAUCAGCAUGCUACGGUGAAUACGUUCCCGGGUCUUGUACACACCGCCCGUCACACCACGAGAGUUUGUAACACCCGAAGCCGGUGGAGUAACCUUUUAGGAGCUAGCCGCUCGAAGGUGGGACAGAUGAUUGGGGU